UUUCUCUUUUCAAUUCUACUAAUCAAUCCUUCAACAUUAUUAUUUUCUUCAACACUUAUUACAGGAAUAAUCAUCGCCAUUUCAUCUCCCUCUUGAUUUACAAGAUGAAUUGGGCUAGAAUUAAACCUCCUCUCCUUUAUCCCAUUAAUUUUUUCAAAACAAAAUACAUUUUCCUCAGAAGCGGCUCUAAAGUACUUUUUAGUCCAAGCUAUAGGAUCAGCUGUGCUAUUAGCAGCAGCCUCUACACUCCUAAUCAUAACUAACUCCUCAAAAGUAAUUAUCCUAUCUGCCCUUCUACUGAAAAUAGGGGCAGCCCCACUUCACUUUUGACUACCCCCAAUUAUACAAGGCAUCUCUUGAUCACGAUGUAUUAUUUUAAUAACAAUCCAAAAAAUUGCCCCCAUAGCAAUAGUAACUUAUACUCUCUCUCCCAGAACACUCUUAAUUAUCAGAAGAUCCUCGAUAAUUUCAGCUAUCUUAGGGGGUCUAGGAGGGCUAAAUCAAACCAUAAUACGCAAAAUCAUGGCCUAUUCUUCUAUUAGUCACAUGGGGUGACUUCUAGCAGCCAUUUCACUUAACUCAACCAUUUGAAUAAACUAUUUACUUAUCUACAGGAUUAUUUCAACAUCUUUAGCAAUUAUAAUAGACCAAAAUCAACUCUUCCACAUUAAGCAGCUUAUAUCUGUCUCUUAUAGGCAAGUAAGUAAAAUUACAGUAUUCUUAAGGCUAUUCUCUCUCGGAGGUCUCCCCCCGUUUUUAGGAUUCUUACCAAAACUAAGAGUAAUUAAAGAACUCACAGCUCAAACUUCGAUCUUAUGAGUCAGGGUAUUAACAAUAAGAGCACUCAUUACACUAUUCUUCUAUACUCGAAUCAGAAUCACAGCGCUAACAUUAAAAUCACCUAAAAUAUUAACACUAAGAUCCUCUCAAUCUCAAAAGAUGGCUUUAUUUUCCCUAAUCAACCUUACACCAAUUCUCUAUCCCCUAGCUGUUAUAAUUCAGUUCUAAGGUUUUAAGUUAACUAAACUAGUAGCCUUCAAAGUUCCCAAAAAGAGUAUUAAUCUCUUAAACCUUAUAAGCUAAGGUACAAUUACAUCUUCAGGAUUGCAGCCUGACGUCUUAUCUAAACUACAUAGCCUGGGCAGAGAGACAAAUCUCAUAACUAGAUUUACAAUCUAUCACCUUUAUCGGCCACCUACCCCACGCAACGGUGGCUUUUUUCAACAAACCAUAAAGACAUUGGAACUUUAUAUUUUAUCUUCGGAGCUUGAGCAGGAAUAGUAGGCACAUCCUUAAGACUACUAAUUCGAGCAGAAUUAGGUCAACCAGGAAGAUUGAUUGGAAACGAUCAGAUCUAUAAUGUUAUUGUUACCGCCCACGCUUUCGUAAUAAUUUUCUUUAUAGUAAUACCUAUUAUAAUUGGAGGCUUCGGUAAUUGAUUGGUUCCUCUAAUAUUAGGAGCGCCAGACAUAGCAUUCCCACGAAUAAAUAACAUAAGAUUUUGACUUCUACCUCCAUCACUUACCUUAUUACUGUCAAGAGGAAUAGUAGAAAGAGGAGUAGGCACAGGAUGAACUGUCUACCCCCCACUAGCUGCAGGAACUGCCCACGCAGGAGCCUCAGUAGACUUAGGAAUCUUCUCCUUACACUUAGCAGGGGUAUCUUCAAUCUUAGGAGCCGUUAAUUUUAUUACUACCGUAAUUAACAUGCGAUCACCAGGAAUGACCAUAGACCGACUACCUCUAUUCGUAUGAGCCGUGUUCUUAACGGCAAUUCUUCUUCUUCUAUCACUUCCAGUGUUAGCAGGAGCUAUUACUAUACUUUUAACAGACCGAAAUCUAAACACAUCAUUCUUUGACCCAGCCGGAGGUGGUGAUCCAAUUCUCUACCAACACCUAUUUUGAUUUUUCGGCCACCCAGAAGUCUACAUUUUAAUUCUACCAGCCUUUGGAAUAAUUUCUCAUAUUGUGAGGCAAGAAUCAGGUAAAAAAGAAUCAUUUGGCACCCUAGGCAUAGUUUAUGCCAUAAUAGCAAUUGGAGUUUUAGGCUUCGUAGUAUGAGCUCACCACAUAUUUACAGU